rfam:Rhizoclosmatium globosum strain JEL800 BCR33scaffold_213, whole genome shotgun sequence.
CGGGAUGAUGAACAGUGGUUGUUCAGCGGACUGUAAAUCCGUGUCGUAAGAGCUGUGAGUUCGAUUCUCACCGUCCCCA